rnacentral:rRNA from 1 species
UACGUAGGGUGCAAGCGUUAAUCGGAAUUACUGGGCGUAAAGCGUGCGCAGGCGGCUAUGCAAGACAGAUGUGAAAUCCCCGGGCUCAACCUGGGAACUGCAUUCGAGACUGCAAAGCUUGGGUGCGGAAGAGGGAAGCGGAAUUUCCGGUGUAGCGGUGAAAUGCGUAGAUAUCGGAAGAACAUCAGUGGCGAAAGCGGCUUCCUGGUCCAGCACCGACGUCAGGCACGAAAGCGUGGGGAGCAAACAGGG